GGCGUGGUGGAAUUGGUAUACACAGCAGACUUAAAAUCUGUUUUGUCAAGUCCUUUCUGCUUACGCCACCA
rnacentral:tRNA from 1 species